ACCACCAAAAAGAAAAAAGUUAAGAAAGAAAAGCCUUGGACACGUAAGAAUUGGAGGCAAAGAAAUGUGGUUGUGGAGAAAUCUGGGGCCAGCUUGCUCCCCGCAGGCUCAAGGUCAACCAUACACAAAG
rnacentral:snoRNA from 1 species